UACGUAGGGGGCGAGCGUUGUCCGGAUUCAUUGGGCGUAAAGCGCUUUAAGGCGGUUCGCUAAGUCGGGUGUGAAACCUCCAGGCUCAACCUGGAGACGCCACUCGAUACUGGCGUGACUAGAGUUCGGUAGGGGACCACGGAAUUCCUGGUGUAGCGGUGAAAUGCGCAGAGUAUCAGGAGGAACACCGGUGGCGAAGGCGGUGGUCUGGGCCGACACUGACGCUGGUAGAGCGAAAGCGUGGGGAGCGAACAGG
rnacentral:rRNA from 1 species